AACGAACGCUGGCGGCAUGCCUAACACAUGCAAGUCGAACGAAGGCUUCGGCCUUAGUGGCGCACGGGUGCGUAACGCGUGGGAAUCUGCCCUUGGGUUCGGAAUAACAGUGGGAAACCGCUGCUAAUACCGGAUGAUGACGUAAGUCCAAAGAUUUAUCGCCCAAGGAUGAGCCCGCGUAGGAUUAGCUAGCUGGUGGGGUAAUGGCCCACCAAGGCGACGAUCCUUAGCUGGUCUGAGAGGAUGAUCAGCCACACUGGGACUGAGACUCGGCCCAGACUCCUACGGGAGGCAGCAGUGGGGAAUAUUGGACAAUGGGCGAAAGCCUGAUCCAGCAAUGCCGCGUGAGUGAUGAAGGCCUUAGGGUUGUAAAGCUCUUUUACCCGGGAUGAUAAUGACAGUACCGGGAGAAUAAGCUCCGGCUAACUCCGUGCCAGCCGCCGCGGUAAAAC
rnacentral:rRNA from 1 species